rnacentral:rRNA from 1 species
CCUACGGGUGGCAGCAGUGAGGAAUAUUGGUCAAUGGACGCAAGUCUGAACCAGCCAUGCCGCGUGCAGGAAGACGGCUCUAUGAGUUGUAAACUGCUUUUGUACGAGGGUAAAUCCCGAUACGUGUAUCGGGUUGAAAGUAUCGUACGAAUAAGGAUCGGCUAACUCCGUGCCAGCAGCCGCGGUAAUACGGAGGGAGCAAGCGUUGUUCGGAAUGACUGGGCGUAAAGGGUGCGUAGGCGGUUGUACAAGUUAGAAGUGAAAUACCCAGGGCUUAACUCGGGUGCUGCUUCUAAAACUGUAUGACUUGAGUGCAGUAGAGGUUAGUGGAAUUCCUAGUGUAGCGGUGGAAUGCGUAGAUAUUAGGAGGAACACCAGAGGCGAAGGCGGCUAACUGGACUGCAACUGACGCUGAGGCACGAAAGUGUGGGGAGCAAACAGGAUUAGAUACCCGGGUAGUC